GAUGAACGCUGGCGGCGUGCCUAAUACAUGCAAGUCGAGCGAACAGACGAGGAGCUUGCUCCUCUGACGUUAUCGGCGGACGGGAGAGUAACACUUGGAUAACCUACCUAUAAGACUGGGAUAAUUUCGGGAAACCGGAGCUAAGACCGGAUAAUAUAUUGAACCGCAUGGGUCAAGCGUUAAAGACGGUAUUUCUGUCACUUAUAGAUGGAUACGCGCCGCAUUGGCAAGUUGUUAAGGUAACGGCUUACCAAGGCAACGAUGCGUAGCCGACCUGAAGGGGACGAUGCACAGACGGGAAGUGAGAAAGAGCAGAGACUCCUACAGGGAGCAACAGUAGGGAAUCUUCCGCGAUGGACGAAAGCCUGACGGUAGAAAGCCGCGUGAGUGAUGAAGGUGUUCGGAUCGGAAAACUAUGUUAGUAGGAGAGAACAAAAGUGUAAGUAACUAUGCACGUCUUGACGGUACCUGAACAGAAAGCCACGGCUAACUACGUG
rnacentral:rRNA from 1 species